rnacentral:rRNA from 1 species
UACGUAGGCAGCGAGCGUUGUUCGGAGUUACUGGGCGUAAAGGGUGUGUAGGCGGUUGCUUAAGUUUGGUGUGAAAUCUCCCGGCUUAACUGGGAGGGUGCGCCGAAAACUGGAAGGCUUGAGUAUGGGAGAGGUAAGCGGAAUUCCUGGUGUAGCGGUGAAAUGCGUAGAUAUCAGGAGGAACACCUGCGGUGUAGACGGCUUACUGGACCAUAACUGACGCUGAGGCACGAAAGCGUGGGUAGCAAACAGG